UCCCUAAAGGGCCGUCGAAGACUACGACGUUGAUAGGUUGGGUGUGUAAGCGCUGUGAGGCGUUGAGCUAACCAAUACUAAUUGCCCGUGAGGCUUGACCAUAUAACACCCAAGCAAUU
rnacentral:rRNA from 2 species